rnacentral:rRNA from 1 species
GGGCGUGAAACCGUUAAUUGGCAAACGAAUCGGAGCCACGAAGUCGUUUCGUUGAGUUGGGUUAGGUUCAGCUUAGGACGAGAGUCCUGGGUGUAUUCUUAGCUCGACCAUUGUAAGCGUACACUGCAACCAGUUAGACGAUUGGUGAUGGGCCCAGUUGAUUGAGGAUGCUUGCAUUCUCUUUUAACGCAGGACUUGUUUAUCCGGGUUAGUAGUAAUGUUGUACGCUUUCGGGUGUACAGUGUUGCUGGGCUCGUGAUAAGUGAACUAUCUACCAAAUACUGACUGGCAAAAUGAAAAUCGCCACUGUGCGUUUUAUAGAAUGCUGCAGCUGGUAUAGAUGCUUACAUGCUCAACCAUAGGGUUUUAAGCUCAGCAUCUUUGAAUUUAGACUUGCAUUCUACCAGUGGGGCAACUCCUGGUGUUUGUAUAGCUUCUAUCUAAUCGGGUGUUGACUUGAUCUUAUGUUGUUUGAGUAUGCUACGAUAGAGUGUUUAUACAAAGUUGUAAGCAAUUCAAUUGGCAGUGAGUAGGUCGGCUUUCCGAACGACCCGUCUUGAAACCGGGACCAAGGA